CAUGCCGUCGGGAAGGGAGCCGUGCGCCCCUCGGCUGCGGGCUCCGAGCUGGGCGGCCGCCCCGGCAGCGGCCGGCAGCGCCUGAUCCCGCGCCGCGUUGCCCCCGCGCACCGCCAUGGACGAGCGCUUCAACAGGUGGCUGCUGCCGCCGCUGCUGGCGCUGCUCUUCCUGCUCAUCGUCUACCAGUACGUGUCGCCCGCCUGCCCCGGCGCCGCCUGCCCCCGCCGCCCGCCGGCCUCCGCCGCCCGCCGCGAGGGGGGCCCGGAGGAGCGGGAGGAGGAGGAGGAGGCGGCGGCGAUGCCGCGGCUGGCGGCCAAGUUCCCGUUCGCCCGGGGGGAGUUGUGCCGGCGGGUGCGGUUCGACAUGAGGGGCCGCGACGUGAUCGUCUUCCUCCACAUCCAGAAGACGGGCGGCACCACCUUCGGGAGGCACCUGGUGCGCAACAUCCACCUGGAGCAGCCCUGCUACUGCCGGGCCGGGCAGAAGAAGUGCGCCUGCCACCGCCCGGGCGGCGACAAGGACACCUGGCUCUUCUCCCGCUUCUCCACCGGCUGGAGCUGCGGGCUGCACGCCGACUGGACCGAGCUCACCAGCUGCGUGCCCGCCGCCAUGGAGCGCCGCGGCUGCGCCGGCAACCGCACCCUCAGGAAUUUCUAUUACAUCACUAUGCUGAGGGAUCCAGUGUCACGAUACUUGAGUGAAUGGAAACAUGUCCAGAGGGGUGCGACGUGGAAAACUUCCCUUCAUAUGUGCGAUGGAAGAAGCCCAACACCAGACGAGCUGCCUACUUGUUAUGAAGGAGACGACUGGUCUGGAGUCAGCUUACAGGAAUUCAUGGAUUGUAGCUACAACUUGGCCAGCAACCGCCAGGUGCGCAUGCUGGCAGACCUCAGCCUGGUGGGCUGCUACAACCUGACUUUCAUGAAUGAGAGUGAGAGAAAUAUGAUUCUUCUCCAAAGCGCCAAGAACAAUCUGAAAAACAUGGCCUUCUUUGGGCUGACGGAAUUUCAGAGGAAAACACAGUAUCUCUUUGAGAGGACAUUCAACCUAAAAUUCAUUUCCCCGUUCACCCAAUUCAACGUUACGCGGGCCUCAAAUGUGGACAUCGGCGAGGAUGUGCGGCAACGGAUAGAGGAGCUGAAUUUCUUGGACAUGCAGCUGUAUGAAUAUGCAAAAGACCUGUUCCUGCAGCGCUUCCAGUACUCCAAGCAAGAGGAGCACCAGAAGAACCGGCUAAAGAGGCGAGAGGAGCGGCGACUGCUGCGGGAGCAGAGAGCUCACCAGUGGCCAAGGGAAGAGGCAGCAGAAGUAGCUGUUACUGAAGAUUAUAACAGUCAGGUUGCAAGGUGGUGAUGCUCCUCCAUCUUGCCUAACCGAUGAGAGGAUCAGAUUGUUUGUGCAAUGUGGCUACCUGGGAAUUAGCCAAGGGAGACCUACUGCUUUGCUAAAUGAGACCUCGUCUGACAACUCCCCCUCGUCUCAGUUUUUCUUGGUUUCUGCCAGUGAGAAUGUAUUUUUUUCUCAAUAGGUAUUGAUUAGUGUUAUUAAAUGGCAGUAGAAUAAGAUUCCUGCCAGAAAAGACUUCCUUCAAAGGCCUAAGCUAUGAGGAUGGGUUGAAGAGACAGAGAGAUUCUUUGCAUUAACAGAUGUACCCUGUACAAUGUGAGCUACUAAAACUUGUGCAGGCAUGAAUGAUAAAUUGGGGAAAAAUACCUGCUUGGUUUUUUUGUGACAUGAGAGCUGGUUCAUUUUGUACUGUUGUGCAUAACUUUCUAGUGAAUGAAAUUAAGAAGGUGCACACAUUGCCCUUCAAACAUCUACAUGCUGUGUUUUGAUUAAGGGAAGAAUUUGAUUUGGUGAUUGAAAAAUACAUAGGACGUGUUGAACUGGGGCACUUCUAGCUCUGUUCCAAAGGCCAGCAGUGAGAGAUUGAUUAUAGGUGAGGUAGUGGAAGGGCUGGCUUAUUUCCCUGCAGGUGCUGAGAGUACCGAGGCCGGCCAGGUAGGAAUCAUCCUUCUAAGUGUGUGUGGCAAAGGCAAGCUUUGAGAAAUGAGGUCCACAUGGCAGCUGAGCACACAUCACAGAGAUUAUCUCGCUGGGGGCAAUGAAAUCUGCCUUCACAGUCACAAAAGGGGUCAAGCAAACUCCAGGGAAGAGGAAAGAGAGAGAAGGAAAAGCUUAAAUAUUAGUGUGACAUUUUCCAGAUUUGAUGUAAAAGCCUGGAGAUACAUUGUCUGUGAAGGGAGAGGAGACAGUGCUGAGAAAUACUUCCCUGGAGCCUCACCAGUGACUGUAAGUAUCAGUUUCAGCUGUCUAAGCACACCAACUGUUCCCCAGACUGUUCUUUCUGCCUGAUACAAAACAAAGCCUAAUGAGGAAAAUUGAAAACGUUUUCUAGGUGGUUUACAUUAGCUUGAAUAGUCUGGCAACAUCUUAAUGUGAUGCCUAACCUUUUUCAUCAGUCAUUUCCCAAGAGUCAACCUGAAGAGCUGGUAAUGUGCUGUGGCAUGUAUGUUAAUAGGAUUUUCCAUAACGCUUCGGAUUUAGUUAAAAUUGAAGGUGGUUUCUUGAAUUUUUUUUCCUCUGGAGCCUAUGUAAUGGCCCUGGUUGUGCAGGAGUAGGUUUGUUGCUUUUGUUAGUUUGGGUUUUUUUUUUGGGUGGAGUGGGCAGUCAUCAGCUAAGACAUUGCCCAGAGCUCUGGGACUGAAGGACCUGGCACCUCCUUCCCUAGCUCCAGCUCCAGCUGGAGAUCCAGCAAACUCACUGCACUAACAAUCCUGAUUUUCUUAGCAGAGUUUCCUAUCACAGGACAAAUAAAGCAGUUUGGAAACACCUUCUGGCUGACUUCUAAGACAUAGAGCUGCAGCUUUUUUCCUCUUGGGCACCGUGCCUCAAAUAAUGUAAUGCAAAAGCAAAGUAACGAUCCUGCUUCAUAACUCUGUUAUUCCAGGUUUUCAUUGCUCUGACAGCAUAAACUUCAACAUAAUUACACUGGCCCAUAUAAGAUCAGGAAGCAGCAUGUUUCUUUCUAAAGCUUAUCACAAUAAUGCUAUAGGAUUUCUGUCCAUCUCUUUGGCAUUAUUUUGUUUCUUAAACAAGGCAAUUUGGCUUCUUCUACUGUUGUGGUGAAACAAAUCUCAUUCUUUUGUAAUGGAGAUGUACUUGCUAAUCUCUCCCAUCACAUUCCCAGUACUGCCUUUUCCAGUUAUAAUUCACUAUAGGCUUGGAGUGGACAAAGAAACAUGCUGUGUCAUUAGAACUUGCUCCUGAUAAUUUGAUAUCUGGUCCAAGCACUCACUGGCCUUAUGGUCUUAUUAAGGAAUGAAAAUUUGUCCUCUCUUCCCCACUCACCGGUGCUGACAGUAAAAACCUUUUUCACCAUCAAGAGAAAAUAAUCCCACUAUUUCUGAUGUUGGGUAUUUUCCAUUGCUGUUGUGUUAAUAGUGAGGCUGUCAUAGCCUUGCUAGGAACUCUACCCAAUAUACAGCAGUUUACUUGCUGUUCACUUAAAAGAGAAAUACAGAAAAAAGUGAUUGAAGUAAGAUCCAGAGCCACACUUCAUAACUGUAUCAUACCCAUUCAACCAAAUGGCAGGUCACAUCACCUUUGUGUCUGGAGAUGUUUCAGAUUUGACAUCCAUGACUAAACCAAGAUGUUUCUGAAGCUGGUCUUCUUGUUAGCACAUUCUUCCUUUUGCCCUAGUGGGAUGUGGUUUUCCAUCUGCACUCUUGUAUCAGUUAUGAGCACUGCUGUUUUAAAACAUAUCUCACUUUUUCUUCCCUCUGUUGCUCUUUCCCUGAUACAUAUGGAAUUAUUCUUUUUUUUUUU